AUACGGAGGGUGCAAGCGUUAAUCGGGAUUACUGGGCGUAAAGCGUACGUAGGCGGUCCGUUAAGUUAGAUGUGAAAGCCCCGGGCUUAACCUGGGAACUGCAUUUAAAACUGGCGAACUAGAGUUGAGUAGAGGGGAGUGCAAUUUCAGGUGUAGCGGUGAAAUGCGUAGAGAUCUGAAGGAACACCAGUGGCGAAGGCGACUCCCUGGACUCGAACUGACGCUGAGGUACGAAAGCGUGGGUAGCAAACGGGAUUAGAAACCCUAGUAGUCC
rnacentral:rRNA from 1 species